rnacentral:rRNA from 1 species
CAGCCGCCGCGGUAAUACAGAGGGUGCGAGCGUUAAUCGGAUUUACUGGGCGUAAAGCGCACGUAGGCGGCUAUUCAAGUCAGAGGUGAAAGCCCGGGGCUCAACCCCGGAACUGCCUUUGAAACUAGAUAGCUUGAAUCCAGGAGAGGUGAGUGGAAUUCCGAGUGUAGAGGUGAAAUUCGUAGAUAUUCGGAAGAACACCAGUGGCGAAGGCGGCUCACUGGACUGGUAUUGACGCUGAGGUGCGAAAGCGUGGGGAGCAAACAGGAUUAGAGACCCCGGUAGUCCCUGUCUCUUAUAU